GACGUAGGGCGCGAGCGUUGUCCGGAUUUAUUGGGCGUAAAGAGCGUGUAGGCGGCCAGGUAGGUCCGUUGUGAAAACUCGAGGCUCAACCUCGAGACGUCGAUGGAAACCCUCUGGCUAGAGUCCGGAAGAGGAGAGUGGAAUUCCUGGUGUAGCGGUGAAAUGCGCAGAUAUCAGGAAGAACACCCGUGGCGAAGGCGGCUCUCUGGGACUGUACUGACGCUGAGACGCGAAAGCGUGGGGAGCAAACAGG
rnacentral:rRNA from 1 species